rnacentral:rRNA from 1 species
GGAGUUAGCCGGUGCUUCUUCUGUGAGUGAUGUCCUUCCUGCCGGCUAUUAACCCGCAGGCCUUCUUCCUCACUGAAAGUGCUUUACAACCCGAAGGCCUUCUUCACACACGCGGCAUGGCUGGAUCAGGGUUGCCCCCAUUGUCCAAUAUUCCCCACUGCUGCCUCCCGUAGGAGUCUGGGCCGUGUCUCAGUCCCAGUGUGGCUGAUCAUCCUCUCAGACCAGCUACGGAUCGUCGCCUUGGUGAGCCGUUACCUCACCAACCAGCUAAUCCGACAUAGGCUCAUCCGAUAGCGCGAGGCCCGAAGGUCCCCCGCUUUCCCCCGUAGGGCGUAUGCCGGUAUUAGCCUGGGUUUCCCCAGGUUAUCCCCCACUACCGGGCAGAUUCCUAUGCAUUACUCACCCGUCCGCCGCUCGCCACCAGGGAGCAAGCUCCCCGUGCUGCCGCUCGACUUGCAUGUGUUAGGCCUCGCCGCCACGCGUUACAAUCUGAGACAGAACUACGAACCCUACGA